rnacentral:rRNA from 1 species
CAAUAGUGUAUAUUAAAGUUGUUGCAGUUAAAAAGCUCGUAGUUGAACUUCUGACAGUGUGCAGUUUUGGCUUCGGUCAGGCUGUUCGCUGUCAUCCGUCUGCAAACCUUGUUCGACCUUCACUGGUACGGCAAGGGGAGUAGACAUUUUACUUUGAAAAAAUUAGAGUGUUUCAAGCAGGCAAUCGCCAGAAUACUUUAGCAUGGAAUAAUGGAAUAGGACUCUUGUCCAUUUGGUUGGUUAUUGGACAUGAGUAAUGAUUAAUAGGGACAGUUGGGGGCAUUAGUAUUUAAUUGUCAGAGGUGAAAUCCAUGGAUUUAUUAAAGACUAACUUAUGCGAAAGCAUUUGCCAAGGAUGUUUUCAUUAA